rnacentral:lncRNA from 1 species
UAGUUUUCGAUUAAUUUAUUUAUGAGAUCAAUAUAAUUUUGCUCUUUAAGUAUACUAUUAUUUAUUUUAAAGAAUCCCCUGCCUCUUUCUUCCGAAUUUUGUCUUACUUGUAAAGAAAUGGCUUGGUGAUCAGUAUAUGAGAUCAUUGCAGGUCGAAUAUCUGCUUUCAUAACAUGCGGUCUUAUAUCAGGACUUAUUAAAAAGAAGUCAAUUCUACUGGCUAUUUUUGUAUCAUU